rnacentral:rRNA from 1 species
AUUGAACGCUGGCGGCAGGCCUAACACAUGCAAGUCGAGCGGGAACUUCGGUUCUAGCGGCGGACGGGUGAGUAAUGCGUAGGAAGCUACCCGACAGAGGGGGAUACCAGUUGGAAACGACUGUUAAUACCGCAUAAUGUCUACGGACCAAAGUGUGGGACCUUCGGGCCACAUGCUGUCGGAUGCGCCUACAUGGGAUUAGCUAGUUGGUGAGGUAAUGGCUCACCAAGGCGACGAUCCCUAGCUGGUUUGAGAGGAUGAUCAGCCACACUGGAACUGAGACACGGUCCAGACUCCUACGGGAGGCAGCAGUGGGGAAUAUUGGACAAUGGGCGAAAGCCUGAUCCAGCCAUGCCGCGUGUGUGAAGAAGGCCUUCGGGUUGUAAAGCACUUUCAGUGGGGAGGAAGAGUUGAGUGUUAAUAGUACUCAGCUUUGACGUUACCUACAGAAGAAGCACCGGCUAACUCUGUGCCAGCCGCCGCAGUAACAC